rnacentral:lncRNA from 1 species
ACAAUUAAAAAUAAGUUUAGGCAUCUAAAACCUUUAUUUAAAAUGGAAUUAUAAUUAUUUGAAUAUAAUAAGAAGAUAAAACAAAAUAUUCAAUAAAAUAUUUUAUUUUCUUAUAAACAGUAAUUUUGGGGUUAUGUGUAAAUACUUUUUGUAACGUAAAAAUAAAAUAAAUUCAUUCAUACUGUAACGCAAUAAACUAGAGUAUUUAAAUUAAUUUAAAUUUACAAUAUCAAGUGGGCCCAUAAUAACCAAAAUUAAAGAAGCUGUGAACCUACAGUUUGGAAGACGCAAUCCAAUGGAAAUCCCCGAUGGAACCAGUUAUCUACAGCCUACUCUGAGCCUGAAAUGGGUGGAAAGAAGGGUGGUGAGAUUAUAAAAUCCUAAUGAGUAAACAAACAUCAUUCAAAUAAGCUAAAGUCGAGUAAAAAGAGACAAUUAAAAUAUCCCAUCAUUUUUAAGUAUUUCACAAUUUGAAAAUUUAUCCCAACCCAUGCAAACGGUUGUAUUUCAUUUAAUUUCUCAUUAAGGCUUAUGACUUCCAUAAACAUUUAGCUUAUGCCAUCAAAUAGUACUCGAUGACACCUUAAUCAGAGGCGUACACUCGAGCCCUCCAAGGCUCUUAAAAUUUCGUAUACACAUAUAUUUUUAGUUUGAGAAAAACACAAUCGUUCCUUGGCGUUAGCGGAGUUCAUCAUCACAAGGUGGUUUGGCGUGACGUGAACUCUAUCCAUACCUCAAGAGAUACCUUACGCACCUCUCCGACCGAGGUACAUAUAUAUAUCCGGAUUUUGUGCCCCUCUAAUAGGCUGGUCCACAGAAUCCACCCACUGCAGCAAGCUAAACCCACCAUACAAUAAAAUUCAAUAACAUGAUAUGGCAAUUAUUGUAAUUCACAGCCUUUCAAGGCUAAAUACAUAUUUCAUACAUUUCAACACAAAUAUCAAUUCAGCCAUUCAUGCAAAUAUUAUCAUAAGCCAUUCGAUUUCAAAUCAUAAAUUUACAAUGUAACAAGUGAUCUCCAAUUACUCUAUUUUUCAAAAUCAUUAUUCGAUUUUAAGACAAUUUAUAAAAUCCUUUCAUGUAAAUACAUUUUGUUUGUAAAACACAAAGAUUUACCAUUUAAACUCCUUUUCAUAAAAUUUCACCAAAAUCGAUUAAAAACAUACUUUAGAUAAUAAAAAUGAUGGUAAUGUUACUCACAGUACUAGGAGUUCGAUAUACUCUUAUUCUCGAUCUUUGGACACAAUCUCUCUACCCUUGUUAAAG